rnacentral:rRNA from 1 species
UACGAAGGGGGCUAGCGUUGCUCGGAAUCACUGGGCGUAAAGGGUGUGCAGGCGGGCGACCAAGUGGGGUAUGAAAUAGCCCGGCUUAACCGGGCGAGGUUAUGCCAGACUGGUCGUCUGGAGUGCGAGAGAGGGGCGUGGAAUUCCGGGUGUAGUGGUGAAAUGCGUAGAGAUCCGGAGGAACCCCAGAGGCGAAGGCGGCUUUCUGGACCGUAACUGACGCUGAGACACGAAAGCGUGGGUAGCAAACAGG